UAAUACCCAGCAUAAUUCAAGCGUUACUCACACGACACAUGACUGUCGAAUAAGAAAAACUCCGUUGAUUCGAGGCUUGCACUCCCAGACGAUGUUUCUACUUAAUAUCAGCUGCCUAGUCACUACAAUCAACAAUUCUCACCAUAA